rnacentral:rRNA from 1 species
GAUGAACGCUGGCGGCAUGCCUAAUACAUGCAAGUCGAGCGAGCGGCGGACGGGUGAGUAAUGUCUGGGAAACUGCCUGAUGGAGGGGGAUAACUACUGGAAACGGUAGCUCAUACCGCAUACCAUCAGAUGUGCCCAGAUGGGUUUCGCUAGUAGUUGAGGUAACGGCUCACCGAGGCGACGUUCCCUAGCUGGUCUGAGAGGCUGACCAGCAAGACUGGAACUGAGAGACGGUCCAGACUCCUACGGGAGGCAGCGGUGGGGAAUAUUGCACAAUGGGCGCAAGCCUGAUGCAGCCAUGCCGCGUGUAUGAAGAAGGCCUUCGGGUUGUAAAGUACUUUCAGCGGGGAGGCGUUACCCGCAGAAGAAGCACCGGCUAACUCCGUGCCAGCAGCCGCGGUAAUUC